rnacentral:tRNA from 1 species
GGGGGAAUAGCUCUGUGGUAGAGUGCAUGCCUAGCAUGUAUGAGGUCCCGGCUUCAAUUCCCGGUAUCUCCA